AUUGAACGCUGGCGGCAGGCUUAACACAUGCAAGUCGAACGGAUGAGGGAAGCUUGCUUCCCGAUUUAGCGGCGGACGGGUGAGUAAUGCCUCGGAAUCUGCCUAGUAGUGGGGGAUAACGUUCCGAAAGGAAAGCUAAUACCGCAUACGUCCUACGGGAGAAAGUGGGGGAUCUUCGGACCUCACGCUAAAAGAGGAGCCGAGGUCGGAUUAGCUAGUAGGUGAGGUAAUGGCUCACCUAGGCGACGAUCCGUAACUGGUCUGAGAGGAUGAUCAGUCACACUGGAACUGAGACACGGUCCAGACUCCUACGGGAGGCAGCAGUGGGGAAUAUUGGACAAUGGGCGAAAGCCUGGUCCAGCCAUGCCGCGUGUGUGAAGAAGGUCUUCGGAUUGUAAAACACUUUAAGUUGGGAGGAAGGGUAUUCACCUAAUACGUGGGUACUUUGACGUUACCAACAGGAUAAGCACCGGCUAACUCUGUGCCAGCAGCCGCCGUAACAC
rnacentral:rRNA from 1 species